CCCUUAGAUGUUCUGGGCCGCACGCGCGCUACACUGACGAUGGCAACGAGUUUUUCCUUCGCCGAAAGGUGUGGGUAAUCUUUUGAAACAUCGUCGUGCUGGGGAUAGAUCAUUGCAAUUUUUGAUCUUGAACGAGGAAUUCCUAGUAAGCGCGAGUCAUCAGCUCGCGUUGAUUACGCCCCUGCCCUUUGUACACACCGCCCGUCGCUACUACCGAUUGAAUGGUUUAGUGAGGACUCCUGAUUGGCGCCGCCGCCCCGGCAACGGAGCAGCGGACUGCCGAAAAGUUGUUCAAACUUGAUCAUUUAGAGGAAGUAAAAGUCGUAACA
rnacentral:rRNA from 1 species